AGCCUAACGGCUGAACCAGCAACUUGGAGGAAUGUAUAGCAAUAGCUAAUUGCACCAGCAAAUAGUUGAUGUAAUAUCGACUAUGUCGAAUAAAAUUCUAGGUAGAAUUAUGAUAAUGACAUUGUCUGCCUAUGUGUCUUGACCAAAUUACGUGCCAGCAGUCGCGGUAAUACGUAGAAGACUAGUGUUAUUCAUCUUUAAUAGGUUUAAAGGGUACCUAGACGGUAAAUCAAGCCUGAAAGGGGACUAAUUUUCUAGAGUUACUUGUGAGGGGGUAUUAAAGUACUGAUGGUGUAGAGAUGAAAUUCUGUCAUACCUUUUCUAUUGCUAGAACUAAUGGCACAGGUAUAGGCGAAAGCAUCCCCUUAUGUGAUAACUGACGUUGAAGGACGAAGGCUUUGUGUCGCGAACAGGAUUAGAUACCCCAGUAGUCAAAGCAGAAAAUGAUGAAUGUCAUAGAUUAGACAUAUAGUUUAUUCUAUAAAUGAAAGUGUAAGCAUUCCACCUCAAGAGUAAUUUGGCAACAUUGGAACUGAAAUCAUUAGACCGUUUCUGAAACCAGUAGUGAAGUAUGUUGUUUAAUUUGAUGUUCCGCAAAAAACCUUACCACAAUUUGAAUAUUUAUAUCUAUAUCUUUUAUUUGAUCUUAUUUCUUUUCUGUUGCUAACCAAGUUAUGCAUCCAUUUUUUUUUCUUCUUUGCAUUGCAUUGCAUUGCAUUGCAAAAAAAAGAUCAAUAUAUCAGAAAGGAAAAAUAAGUAAUAAGAAGAAAAAAGACAUAUUUACAAGCGU
rnacentral:rRNA from 1 species